rnacentral:rRNA from 1 species
AACGAACGCUGGCGGCAGGCUUAACACAUGCAAGUCGAACGCCCGUAGCAAUACGGGAGUGGCGGACGGGUGAGUAACGCGUGGGAACGUGCCCUGAGGUACGGAAUAACUGCGGGAAACUGCAGCUAAUACCGUAUGAGCCCCUUACGGGGGAAAGAUUUAUCGCCUUAGGAGCGGCCCGCGUCGGAUUAGCUAGUUGGUGGGGUAACGGCUUACCAAGGCUUCGAUCCGUAGCUGGUCUGAGAGGACGAUCAGCCACACUGGGACUGAGACACGGCCCAGACUCCUACGGGAGGCAGCAGUGGGGAAUCUUGCGCAAUGGGGGCAACCCUGACGCAGCCAUGCCGCGUGAAUGAUGAAGGCCUUAGGGUUGUAAAGUUCUUUUGCCCGUGACGAUGAUGACGGUAACGGGAGAAUAAGCUCCGGUUAACUUCGUGCCAGCCGCCGCGGUAAGAC